GACGAACGCUGGCGGCGUGCCUAAUACAUGCAAGUAGAACGCUGAAGAGAGGAGCUUGCUCUUCUUGGAUGAGUUGCGAACGGGUGAGUAACGCGUAGGUAACCUGCCUUGUAGCGGGGGAUAACUAUUGGAAACGAUAGCUAAUACCGCAUAACAAUGGAUGACACAUGUCAUUUAUUUGAAAGGGGCAAUUGUUCCACUACAAGAUGGACCUGCGUUGUAUUAGCUAGUAGGUGAGGUAAUGGCUCACCUAGGCGACGAUACAUAGCCGACCUGAGAGGGUGAUCGGCCACACUGGGACUGAGACGCGGCCCAGACUCCUACGGGAGGCAGCAGUAGGGAAUCUUCGGCAAUGGGGGCAACCCUGACCGAGCAACGCCGCGUGAGUGAAGAAGGUUUUCGGAUCGUAAAGCUCUGUUGUAAGUCAAGAACGGGUGUGAGAGUGGAAAGUUCACACUGUGACGGUAGCUGACCAGAAAGGGACGGCUAACUACGUG
rnacentral:rRNA from 1 species